CUUGUUUUAGAUGAUGAUGUGUUGAAUCAAUGUUGAUGAAGACUGUAUUUUGGCAACUUCAGUUAAAGGGAAAGAAUAGUUUCAAUUGUGAAGCAGAGAACAUAAGUUCAAAGCAACCCUGUGGUUACUGUUAAGGCCAACAGAGCUGAACACAUCUUGCAGAAGCUGAUUGAAUGUGCUGCUGUUGAACUCUGAUCCCAUGGAUAGAUUGUGAGCAUCACCUUUAGUAGGAUGGCAAAUGUUCUCUGCUAAGCCAUGGCCAUAAAAUGAGCAUUGUUUCUUUGUAUACAUUGACAAGUGAAAAAAAGAAACUAAACUCUGCCUUUUUAUUAAUGGAUGAAUGAUGUGAAUUAAAAUAUUUGACCAUUUUAAAGCAUGGAGUGUGGAUGUGCUAAGUUGUUUGUGGGAUUGAAUUUCUAAUAACUGUUUUAAUUGGAGGUUGAAUUCAAGUCCAAAUAGGCAGAUCUAAAUAGCCAUUUAAACCAGUAAUCACACCACUAGGCAGAUCUUGAUGUGUCUUCAAUAAUUAAUCUGGGCAGAUAUCCUUAAAUAAUUCAGUGAUUUUUAAUUAAAGAAAAUAGGGUAUUUAGUUGAUUUUUUUAGUCUGGGGAAUAUUUAUCAACAUGAUUCCAUGCCUUUCCUUUUUUUCUAAUAUUUUUUCUUUCCCUGCUUGGUAUUUUACGACUUUUAGAUUCUUUCUUAGCUAAAUAUUU
rnacentral:lncRNA from 1 species